rnacentral:rRNA from 1 species
UACGUAGGGUGCGAGCGUUUGUCCGGAAUUAUUGGGCGUAAAGAGCUCGUAGGCGGUGUGUCGCGUCGGUCGUGAAAACUUGGGGCUCAACUCCAGGCUUGCGGUCGAUACGGGCAGGCUAGAGUUCGGUAGGGGAGACUGGAAUUCCUGGUGUAGCGGUGAAAUGCGUAGAUAUCGGAAGGAACACCAGUGGCGAAAGCGGCUUCCUGGUCCAGCACCGACGUUCAGGCACGAAAGCGUGGGGAGCAAACAGG